rnacentral:sRNA from 1 species
UCUAACUUAAGCAACAUAGUCCCAACCUGCUACUAUGUCCUUGCAGCCCUGAAGCUUGCGCCAGUGUGAAUAAGUAUCUUCAAAAACAC